AGAGUGGCAGUGUAGCGUGUAGGUAGGGUUUUCUUCUCUGCAAACUAACCCACUUUCUCAAACCCAUUUCCCCUCUCUCUCUCUACUCCUCGCCGACAACAAUGGAGAAACCACUGAUUUCAGAUCUAUUUCUUCUCUCCCUUGAGCCUUCAAUCCAUGAUCCAUCAGCAGUUCAGCAAGUCACCAGUCACCACCGUGGUUGAUUUGAUUUCUAUCGUCCUAAAUCGCCGAAUUGGUGACCAUCACUGCCAUGUAUGGCAACCAGGCAAGCUAAGGGUAUUCAAGAAGGCAAACGAGUCAUUAUUUUGGCAAAGAGCAAGUGGUUUCUGGUCUUGUGGAGUUCUUGAGAAAUCUUUGGAAUGUUAAAAGGGUGAAGAAGGGCAAGCGGCAAUAGUAACUAGUAAUUAGUACGAAGUAGUAAUGAAUGAUACAUGUAAUUGAUAAUGUAAAAGCUCAUCUGGAAUUGCUUGAAGCCUUGAAACUUGAAAAAAUUCAAAUCCUUAAGAAUAUAAAAGACUUAAUUUAAAGCAUCUCA